GCCUGGGUGGCUCAGUCGGUUGGGCGUCUGCCUUCGGCUCAGGUCAUAAUCCCAGGGUCCCGGGUUCGAGUCCUGAUUUGGGCU
rnacentral:tRNA from 1 species